AAAAAAUCCAAGUUCAUCGAACUUCUCCUCAUAGUUCAAAACAACACACAAAAUGUUGGAGGAACUCGUCAGAUGCCACCUGGGUUCUGAGGUAACAGAGAGGAAAUGCAAAUCUUUUCACACAUGUGACAGAGCAGGAGGUGGGUGACAAACCAGGUCAUAGAUCCUCUGUCAGAUGCUUCACACACGCCACUCUCAAGGUCUUUCAGUAACUUGACUUUCUGAAUCAGAAUCAGGUUUAUUAUCACCAGCAUGUGUCAUGAAAUUUGUUAACUUAGUAGCAGC